UACAGAGGGUGCUAGCGUUGUUCGGAAUUACUGGGCGUAAAGGGCGCGUAGGCGGCUUGAUAAGUGAGAUGUGAAAUCUCGGGGCUUAACUCCGAAAGUGCAUUUCAAACUGUCAGGCUAGAGUGCAGUAGAGGUUGGUGGAAUUCCCAGUGUAGAGGUGAAAUUCGUAGAUAUUGGGAGGAACACCGGUGGCGAAGGCGGCCAACUGGGCUGCAACUGACGCUGAGGCGCGAAAGCGUGGGGAGUCAAACAGGA
rnacentral:rRNA from 1 species